rnacentral:rRNA from 1 species
GACGUAGGGGGCAAGCGUUGUUCGGAAUUAUUGGGCGUAAAGCGCGCGUAGGCGGCUACUUAAGUCGGAUGUGAAAGCCCCUGGCUCAACUGGGGAAGUGCACCCGAAACUGAGUAGAUUGAGUGCAAAAGAGGGCCGCGGAAUUCCCGGUGUAGAGGUGAAAUUCGUAGAUAUCGGGAGGAACACCUGUGGCGAAAGCGGCGCACUGGACCAUAACUGACGCUGAUGCGCGAAAGCUAGGGGAGCAAACAGG